GGAAUCUAGGUUGCACGCUCUUUAUGAGAAUCUAAUGCCUGAAGAGCUGAGGUGGAGCUGAGGCCAUCCCAUCACCCCCAGAUGGGACCUCUAGUUGCAGGAAAACAAGCUCAGGGCUCCCACUGAUUCUGCAUUAUGGUAACUCCUUCCCUGGAUGUGGUAUCUGCCAUUCUCAUGAAAGCUUUUAUACAUGCUAUAUAUAGCUAUAUUGAUGACUGCCACAUCCUUUUUGCAAUAAAGGCAUUUUUCCUCUCGAAACGGACAGUCUGCGCUCAAAUGCUCUUUCAGAUCUUUGCGAAGGACUGGCUCCCGACAGCUCUCAUUAGAGCACUGCACAGCUUGGAAUAAGCAGUGCUGAAGACACGCCAAUUAAUUUACCAGCUCCUCAAGGACAUUUCUUUUGUGCACCCUCCAUCCCCACCUCCAGCACCAAGUACUAAUCUCUGCACAGCAGAUGGUAAAAGCCGGAACAGAGGGCAAAGAGGGAAGAAGAGAAGGCUACCUCCUAAGUAAGUGAAGGAAGGGGAAGGACUAAAGGAAAGAAAGGGAGGGAGAGGAAGCUCUUCCAGAAGCGGUAAAGAAAACGAUAAAGGAAUACAGGAUCACAGGCCCAGGAGAAGCUGGGAUGGGUCAUCCUUGUCAAGUCAGGAAAUGUUCUUGACCAGAAUAUUAGAGAAUGGUGACUCAGACAGUGUUCUUCAUGUUACAGAUUUUUAAAAGCAGGCAUGUCUUAACAGAACCUGUGGAUAACACUGCAAGUUACUGUGGUGCUGACAAGGUAUCAAAAUCCUAAGGAGUUUGUUCCCCACCACAAGAUCCUUUAAAACAGGGUUGGCAAGCUAUGGCCCUUGGGCCAAAUCUGGCCUGCUACUUGUUUCUGUAAAUAAAGUUUUAUGGAGAACAGCCACACCUAUGUCUCACAUAAUGGCUAUGGCUGCUUUCCCUCUGAGUAGCUGCGACAGACACUGUAUGGCUGGCAAAGCUUAAAAUAUUUACUGUCUGGCUCCUGACAGAAACAGUUUGCUGACCCCUUAAGAGAACACACAGUUUUACUAUAGGAUGUAAAUAAAUAUUAUAGCUUUUCUCCUUUGCCUCUAGUAAUGAGAGACAGUGACAACUGACAUCUACAUCUUCUCCAAAAUCCAUGGAUGCUACCCCUCAGCUCUCAUCAAAACCAUCAACAUUCAUCAAGACUCUGCUACCUGUGAGAUCCUACACCUUACUCGCAAGGUGAAGGAGAACAGGGAAUGAGAGGAAAUACAAAAGAAACAGGUGAAAAUAAACCAGCCACUGUUCUCCAGAAGCUGAGGAUCUGGUCACUAGAGCUGAUCAAUGAGCCUCAUUUCCUGUACAGGCUUAGUGACAACAAAGUUGGUAAAGAGGCCCUGCUUGCUCUAGGACCUGACUAUCAAAACAAGUGGCGAGGGACUGUCUUAGGAAAACACAAAAACCUUCUGUGAACUUCCAGAGAAAUUCUUGGGUUAGCAAGGGAAUCAUUUACACAUUUAUGAGCUCAGUGCCUAGGGGUGUAGAGGCACGAUGGGGAAAAGACUGAAUCACCUGAAAUACAUUCCAAAAUGUGUGGCUGGGAAGGGAAACUUGUAGCAUCCUCCUAGCAAUUCCCUGGAAGCUAGAGAUGCUUGCCUCGUAUUCAUUCAUAGUGUGAUUGAACCUGACAUGGGCUUGCUGUGGCGAAGCCACGUUUCCUGCUUUCCAUUUAACAACCUUCCACCUCUGGAUGCAAGAGCAAGGUAGGACAGCUUCAUCUGAAAGGAACUCGACAACCCUUCACCUCCCCUACACCUCGUUUGCUUGCAUCUCAUACCAAUGCUUCGCCUUUACACUACAUUCUAGCUCUGUUCUGGUCUGUGUCAUCUGCCUUAGAUCACAACCUCUAAGACAGCAGGGCCCACAGCGGCUAGGAGACACCCGCCCCAGCACCUGCAAAUGCUUCCAGGCAGGGACCCUUACAAUUGUGUCUUUCUGCAGUCAUGCCCUGGCUCCCAUCCUAGGAAUCCCCAAUCCUUCACAGUUUUCCAAAACUGACGUGUCCUUGCUCGACCAUUUCUUUUGCCCAGCAUGUCUCACAUCUUCUCUUUUGGAUCAAUAACCCUAACCCACAAGUUGAGGUCUAGCACACAUGGUAUGUCCUCCAUGUGUUCCAUACAAAAUGAAUCUCUUCACGUGAGAUUAAUUUCACACCUUAGCCCUCGGUGGGCUGCACUGUAGCCAAGUGUACCUCUAGACAAGAAUUCUCUGAGGGCAACCCAAUGAAUCUCCGUACCAUGCUUAGCCCACUAACUGUCACAUAAAAAUGUUCAGUACAUGUCACUGGAGAAAUAGCAAAGGCAAAUAUUGUCCACCAGUAAUACCAACCUGGUAUCGUCCCAGAAUAACCUUGGCAUUACAUCCAGGAGCAUUUUUGCAAAAUACAUAUAAAUUGAGGACUUCUCUUCUGCAGCAAUUGUCUUUAAACACCUAAAAGAUAAACAAAGUAGGUCUCACACACUCCAAAGCUUUAGAGCAACGUGAAGGAAGCUAUUAUUAAUUUGGUCUUCAAGUACAUCUCAAAAGUUGGGUGGAAACUUCCAGUCAGUGGUUGGAAUGGAAAUACCAGAUUCACCACCGUAAAAGAAAAGGCUGUCUCAGAUACAUCUGACAGGCCACCAAACAUACAAGCCAGGUAAUUUAAUGCUUAGUGCAGUAGGCUGAAGCUAGGAGAAUCUCGUGGUGAACUUGACCCCACAUGCUCAAAGGUCAAGAGGUGGGGCUGUGGAUGAGGGUGAUGCUUUCAGCUUCCUGUCCCAGGGUGAACGUUUGCAUUAGUCAUCAGGUGGUGUCACUGAAGCUGUGCUGACUUAUUUUUCAGCACAAGCCAGGGGUUGGCAAACUUUCUCCGUAAAGGGUCAGAGAGUAAAUAUUUUCAGCUUUGCCAACCACGUUGCAAUGUUCUCUGUUGCAACUAUUCAACCCUACUGUACCCGAUACUUAAAUGAAUGGGCAUGCCUGUGUUCCAAUAAAACGUCAUUUAUGGACACUGAAACGUGAAUUUCAUAUAAUUUUCACAUGUCACGAAACAUUAUCCUUCUUUUGAUUCAUAAAAUAAAUUUUUGUUUUGAAAUAAAGACUCACAAGAAG